rnacentral:lncRNA from 1 species
CUACUUCCUGCCUCCCCAGCAGCAUCAAAGAGAAAUAACUCCUCUAGAAUUACAAGCUGAGUUCUGCUUGGGACUGAGACUCCUUUCACCAGCAGUUCUGCUUGUCCGGGUACGUAAGCUGGCACUCUCAUCCCUGAGAGCUAUGAACCCCUACAGCAGCAGUCACAUGACGGAUGCAUGUAUCCUUUUGCACUCAAAAAAUCAGGCGUUGGGUACAAAAACUACACCAUGUAGCCACAUUCUUUAUGUCUUCAAGGAGACACUUCUGCAGUUGUCCUCAAGGCUCAGCAUUUCCCUGGCUGUGUCAUGUGGUAACUGCAGUCUAGAUGUUGGUCUAAUUGCCAGAAAAGAAGAUACAGAUAGAUCCUCAGCAAGCAGAGGCUUUCAGCAUCUUCAGUGACGAGAGAAUAAAAGCAUCCAGCUAAGAAAUCUGAAGACCACUGACCAAGUGAAACAUUUGAAGAAGGAUGAAUUAUCCAGAGAAAAUGCCCCAAGAAAAAGAGCAGAUUGGCCUAAUGGUAUAGCACAUUUCCAGAUAAAAUCUCAUAGUCUUCUCAAAUGUUUGUCUCUGCUGUUCUCUAAAGAUGUAUAUAGAAAAUGGUCUUUUAGCCGGGUGUUGGUGGCGCACGCCUUUAAUCCCAGCACUCGGGAGGCAGAGGCAGGUGGAUCUCUGUGAGUUCGAGACCAGGCUGGGCUCAAGAGCGAGUUCCAGGAUAAGCUCCAAAGCUACACAGAGAAACCCUGUCUCCAAAAACCAAAAAAAAAAAGAAAGAAAAUGGUCUUUUGUAAUCCCAAUUCAAUUAAAAAUUAAACUUGGCUCUCUCCUCCUCUAGACCCAAGCAUGCUUGUUAAAGGAAAUUCCAAAAUCUCUGUCUCAUGUCAGAAGAGUCACCUAGUAUGGGGCAGAAUAAAAACCAAAAUUCUAUUGCCACUAAUCUCAUAAUCCUUUGGUUUUAUUUUGACUCUUUAAAACUUUUCUUAAGGUAUAGAUAUUAUCUCAAAAUUUAUAAGAUUAAUAUAUAUAUGCAUACAUAUAUAUUAAUAUUGUGAUAUUAAUAGUCAUAUAGAGUACUAACUGAUUCUAGUAAUAGACUUCAUCUUGCUUCCUGUAUGUGAUUUCUGACCUGAGUCUGAAGCAGGUAACUAGGAACUACGUUUGUGUACCUCAGAUGUAUUUACUAGAUUGUGGUCCUUUAACCUCUCUGAUAUCUGCUGCACAAUGAUGUGGGAUUGAUGUGGGGUGUCCUUCUGUAUGCUCUUUUUUCUUUUCUGUAUGCUUUUAUUGGUUGAUAAAUAAAGCUACUUUGGCCAAUGGCAGGGCAGAAGAUAGCUAUGUGGGAAAGCCAAACUGAAUGCAGGGAGAAAGAAGGUCAGAAUCUAGAGGUGCCAUCCAGUCGCCUAAGGAACAGCAUGCCAGAGCACCACUGGUAAGCCAUGGGCCACAUGGUGGUACAUAAAUGAACAGAAAUGAGUUAAUUUAGAUGUAAGAGAUAGCCAGUAAUAAGCCUGAGCCAUUGGCCAAACAAUUAUGCUUGAUAUUAAGCCUCUGAGUGAUUAUUUUAUAAAUAGCUGAGAGACUGGGCAGGACACAGAAAAGCUUCAGCUACAGCAUAUGACAUUUAAAAUGUUUAAGUGUCCUGCAGUGAACCAUGACCAUCCCUUUGAAGUCUCCAAAAUGGUGUUGGUGCCCCACAGUGACAAAUCCACCUGGUUUGCAGAAUUGCCACUAAUCUGACAAACAUCACCCAAUACUCAGGACAACUUCAAAGCAGUUAGCUAAGGUGGUCCAGUCUCAUAGAUUACUCCAGUCAGGACUUCAGAUAAGGCUUCCAUUCUCACAUCACACCAAGACUGGACAACAGCUAAUUCCUCCAGAACUUGAUGUUUAUAUUGAUUAUUUUCAGUGUUCCUGAAAGAUGUCAUCUCCCCCAGAUAUUAGGAAGUAAUUUUUAAAAACAUACUCUCACAUCCCAAGAGGUAGGGUGGGUAGUUUUUGGUCAUUUGUUGGAUGUUUGUCAUCAUUUAGGGGUGUUGGUCACAAGUUGUUAUUGGUUAUGGUCAAGGAAGAAACUAAGCAAAGGAAAUUAGAUUCAAGGAUCUCAUUCUGAAAAGAAAAAAGGGGGGUUAUAGAAAUUAUAGGAUAAAAGGGUAGAUUAUUGAAUCUACUUUCAAACUAAAAAGCAACUACUAGUCUUAAAUAUUUUACAGUGGCAUGGAUUUUUAUAUAUUGAUAGAAAUAUAAGGUUAUUUUGUUAUAGUGUAUAUAUAUUUCUACUCUUGCUUAUGAUAUUUUUGUAUAUUGAUAUAAAUUUACAGUU